rnacentral:lncRNA from 1 species
CAUCAGCCCAGCCUGCAAGGAGGCGCCACCGGACCUGCACACUCAGGAGCAGACUCAGCUAGAUUGGAAGAGAGGAUGGGAAGACAAUGGAUGACCUACCUGUGGAGAGAAACUACCCAUUCCAGAACCUCCUCUCUGCUGAAAGCUGAACACUCAAUGGGAAGACCUGUUUGCAGAGAGGAGCCAGCCACUCCAGGGUCUCCGUUCUGCUAGAAGCUGAACACUCGUUGGGACACCCUUGCUGUGGAAAGGACAUCCUUACUGUGGAAAUGAGCUACUAACUGCAGGUCUCCUUCCUCUUCAUCUUCCUUAUCCUUCUGUUCCAUUGCUCAGUAAUGCUCCUCUUCAUCUGUCUCAUUCUCCACUUGUCUGCUUGAUGCAGGAGCUGAGGAGCUGCACAGCAAGGUUAAAAGAGCUGUAACACAAACAGGGCUGCAACAUGCCCCUUGCUCCCCACAGGGAGAGAAGAGCUCUGGCCCUCGGAGAAGCCCAGACCUGGGAGCUCCUUGAGCCCGGGCUGUGACUCCCUCUUUGGGGCCCUGGUUGGCGUCACUGCAUUCGCCAGUGCCACUGUUGGAAGCUGCUUGUGAUGCGCCUGGUCCAGGGGGAAGCUGUUUGUUGUGUGCCUGGUCCAGCCACCUCAUGGAGAGCCUGUGCUGGCACCUGGAGCUGCCCAACCUGGGCAGCAGCUUGUGUGUGUGACUGCACAGUGGCCACGCUUGCUCACACACCCCUAGCACACCCCUCUGCUCCACCCGUCUCAAUCUCCCUUGGAUCCGGGAUCCAGGUUGGUAGCAAGUGCGAGUGGGCAGAAGCAGCCCAGUGGGCCCAGAGCAAAACUCAGGCAAAGGUGCCACUAGACUGGCCAGGAAAGCGACACCCUAAAGAUCCCAUAAUGCUGAUAUGUUAAUUCUAUUCUAUAAGCACCACACAGAAGUGAUAGCUUUUAUUUCUUAUUUUGUCUAGCCUGGAGACAGAGCUAAGGAUUCCUUGAACUGCAAAGUCUUUUCCAGUUCUUAGUUUAUACAAUCCAUACUCACCUUCUGCCUAACUAAGCAUUGUCAUUUUUGUGCCAAAUGAAGAGUAGGACUCCUACGAUUGUCCUCAGACUCUCUUGGCUCAAUCCUCCUGCUUUAACCUUUCCUACUUCAAAAACUCCUGAAGUUUUGCUUCCCCUUCUAUAGAAUGGAAAUAUAUGUCGCAAUACUUACUGCAAAGAAAAUUAUAUAUUUUAAAAAUAGACUAAAGAGAUGUUGUGAGACAUCAGACAUCAAUCAGAUGUUGUGAGAACUGAUUUCUGCAUCAGAAUAUCUCCUUGACUUUACAGCUAUCCUUUAAUCCUGGCUCAAAGUUCCAGAAGAAAGAUGAUCCAAUAUAAUACUCCUAUUUGGACUUUGAGUCAUACACAUUCCUUCUUCUGAGAAAACGUGCUUCUGCAUGAAUCCUCCCUUCAUUAUUUUCAGCUCAUCUAUUAUUGAAUCUGAAACCCCAGGUUAACUGACUGAUCACUCUCAUCAGUGGCAGAUUUUGGUGUAACAUAGGACACAUCACUCCCAAUUCAGGUCAAGUCCCAAUUAUCUUGCCUCUCAAUAUGACAUGUUCAAUGUUGUAUUUCAUUCUACUUCAUUUUAAUGUAAAAAGUCUUUUCUGGUGAAGUCAGUCUUUUAUUUUCUCAUAAAAAUUCACCCUUUGGGUUUUUCAUAGGGUAUUCCCAUAACCAAACACACUUUACACUUUCCUAGUACAUAACCCAAUACUUUCUUCUUUCCCCACAGUCCUUACAUGAAGCCUACUCAGACCGACAUCACUGUAUCAUUUUUUUGUAUUCUGAAGUCCUUCAGCACUUGAUUCCUUUAAGUUUAAUCUUGGUAUUCUAUUGGGAAUCAUAUGGAAAUGUACAAUGAUAUUUAUUGAAUGAACAGGAAACAGGGAAAGACAUUGACCAGAAAAAGUGUUUAUUCAUCAAGUCUUUAAAGAUACAAAAACACGUGUCUUCUGUGGAGCUCUGAGAACAGGACUCCAGCAAAGCACUUUUCAGCCUUGUGGUCUUCAAGCAUUUCCAAGAUCUGUGACAUUGGAAAGAAAAAAAAUUAAGACAGAUUUGGGUCUCCAUGAGCAGAGAGUAUUCUUUCCCUUAGUUCUGGGUAGCAUAGUGCCCAAGGAAACCUAAUCAGUACAGUGGGAAACCAAAUCUAUUCCAAAUCAUUACCCAUAAGCAAUCCUAUGGACUCUCUGAGGUUUGACAGAGUCAGCGGCCCUCUCCAAUAAAUGUGUUUUUCUAU